GUCCACGCUGUAAACGAUGGAUACUAGGUGUGGGGACUGACCCCUCCGUGCCGCAGUUAACACAAUAAGUAUCCCACCUGGGGAGUACGAUCGCAAGGUUGAAACUCAAAGGAAUUGACGGGGGCCCGCACAAGCGGUGGAGUAUGUGGUUUAAUUCGAAGCAACGCGAAGAACCUUACCAGGGCUUGACAUCCCGGCGACCGGUGUAGAGAUACACUUUCUUCUUCGGAAGCGCCGGUGACAGGUGGUGCAUGGUUGUCGU
rnacentral:rRNA from 1 species